AUGGCUAUUACUAAUUGGUUAGACGCGCAACUCGUAUCAACGUCGUCCCCUCGUCUUGUGGAUCAGCGCCGCAGGCCCCACAUGGACCCACCCGAUCUUGCCUAUUUCAAUUUUUCUCAGCGCAUACGGAGCGAAUACAGGUCCUAUCGUAUCUGGCAUCCUACCUGCGCUCGAUGCGUAGCCUGUACUCGCCUACCCCCCGUCCACUACCCCGUGACCAGGCUCCCCCGACCAUCCCCAUCCACAAUUCGAAUCAGGCAGACGCGGCUGCAUCGAGCGGAGGAACCACGCCCUCCACAUCCACGCGCCUGGAUCCCUAGGUUGCUUCACGAUUCAACGAUGAAUCUCAGUGCAGAUUCAUUCACGGAUCUCCUCUUCAGAUUCUGUUCCCAUCCGGUUGCAACAGAGGGCGUCCCGGAUCUGGGAUUGCUAGAGGGGGAGGAGGAGGAGGAGGAGGAGCACGAAGAGCGCAUCCAUCCUAAUUUCCAGAACCAUUCUCCUUCAUCAAGCCAAGAUGGAGAGAAAUAUGGUGCCACAGAUUUAGGAACUCCUCCUCCUCAUGCCAUGCCAGAUUUCUCCAACGUCCCAUAUAUUGACGACAACAAAGAGACUUCGCCUGAAUUGCAUCCCACUCCAGUUCCGUGGACUCAAAGGGUCCGACUUGGCAAAAUUCAUGACAGCCGUGCCACAUUAUCGAGAAGGAGAAGUGCUUUGGAAAAGGCCGUGAGAAAUUACGCAGAUAAGAAGUCAGAGUUCGUCGUCAAGCCAGAGAUCAUUCCAGAGGCCAUGCCAGACUUCUGGCCUUCCAACUCUGUGGCUGGGAAGAAAUUGUUAAAGGAAACUUAUCGGCAGCUGAUGGUUGCAUGGUGGCUUGGGUUACAAGAUCAGGCCACAACUGAGCUGCAUGACCAAGAUAUGCCUGUCAUACCAGGAGCAACUAUUCUAUGA
rnacentral:rRNA from 1 species